ACCGCCCGCUUUCUUCAUGCCUAACACAUGCCAGUCGAACGAGACCUUCGGGUCUAGUGGCGCACGGGUGCGUAACGCGUGGGAACCUGCCCUUAGGUUCGGAAUAACUCCCCGAAAGGGGUGCUAAUACCGGAUAAUGUCUUCGGACCAAAGAUUUAUCGCCUUUGGAUGGGCCCGCGUUGGAUUAGCUAGUUGGUAGGGUAAAAGCCUACCAAGGCGACGAUCCAUAGCUGGUCUGAGAGGAUGAUCAGCCACACUGGGACUGAGACACGGCCCAGACUCCUACGGGAGGCAGCAGUGGGGAAUAUUGGACAAUGGGCGAAAGCCUGAUCCAGCAAUGCCGCGUGAGUGAUGAAGGCCUUAGGGUUGUAAAGCUCUUUUACCCGGGAUGAUAAUGACAGUACCGGGAGAAUAAGCUACGGCUAACUCCGUG
rnacentral:rRNA from 1 species